rnacentral:rRNA from 1 species
GGCGGACGGGUUGAGUAAUGCUUGGGAACAUGCCUUGAGGUGGGGGACAACAGUUGGAAACGACUGCUAAUACCGCAUAAUGUCUACGGACCAAAGGGGGCUUCGGCUCUCGCCUUUAGAUUGGCCCAAGUGGGAUUAGCUAGUUGGUGAGGUAAUGGCUCACCAAGGCGACGAUCCCUAGCUGGUUUGAGAGGAUGAUCAGCCACACUGGGACUGAGACACGGCCCAGACUCCUACGGGAGGCAGCAGUGGGGAAUAUUGCACAAUGGGCGCAAGCCUGAUGCAGCCAUGCCGCGUGUGUGAAGAAGGCCUUCGGGUUGUAAAGCACUUUCAGUCAGGAGGAAAGGUUAGUAGUUAAUACCUGCUAGCUGUGACGUUACUGACAGAAGAAGCACCGGCUAACUCCGUGCCAGCAGCCGCGGUAAUACGGAGGGUGCGAGCGUUGAUCGGAAUUACUGGGCGUAAAGCGUAC